CUAGAAUUUAGAACCAUCAAAGGUGCUGAAAAGGCUGUGCAGACUAUUUCCUGGAACCACAGGGGUGCUAUGACUUCUCACUUUCCUGUUUUUCCUUUCGGAGGGGAAGGGCAUACUGAACAAUGCUUCAGAUUAACAACAUAUGUGGCAAACCUAAGGAAUUACCCCAGGUAUUAUGAUGAACCAGGAAAUUUUGUGGCCAAGCACCUCUAGA